UCUGCCCUCUCUCAAAAUCAUCUUGCCUCAAAUCUCUCUCGUCCAAAUCCAUCCCUCUCAAAAUCCCCUCGCUGGAAACUCUCUUGCCCAAAUCCUAAAUAACUCAUCAAUUCUUCCAUUUCAAGAAAAAGAACUUAGGAGGCCAAUAACUGAAGGCUGAGGCAUUCAAGGCUACAUACACAAGGCUGACCUAUAAUCGAUAUCUGCAAUGUAUAGAGGAUUUUUGUCAAACUCUGCCAGAAGAUAGGCGAGACCUACCACUUAGCCAAGAGUAGAAUGAGAGAAUGCAUGCGGUUGGUGGCCUAAGUAGGUAAUAGCUGAGCUAUCUAAAGAAGCUAAUGCCUCGCAGGGUAGGGAAAGGCAAAGAGAUAUACAGUAUGCAGGAAUGAAGGCCCAAUUCGAUGGAUUACUUGCUUCGGGAGAAUUCCCCCUUGUCCCGAUGAUGUAGUGCGCCCUCCUCGACCUCCAGUCUCUACCUAUUUCACAUGGAGUACAUGGUCAAUACAAAGAUGUGACUAAGGAGCCCAGUAGUAAUGAAAAUGAUAAGGAUUACUAUGUGGACAAUACACCGCCGCGUUGUUAAAGUUGAAUGUUGUCUAGAUAAUUCAAACUAUAUACUUCAUGGUGGUUUAUUUGAAUUCUUAGGUGUUUUUGAAUGCAUUAAA